AGUGAACGCUGGCGGUAGGCCUAACACAUGCAAGUCGAACGGCAGCACAGUAAGAGCUUGCUCUUACUGGUGGCGAGUGGCGGACGGGUGAGGAAUACAUCGGAAUCUACUUUUUCUUGGGGGAUAACGUAGGGAAACUUACGCUAAUACCUCAUACUACCUACGGGUGAAAGCAGGGGAUCUUCGGACCUUGCGCGAUUGAAUUAGCCGAUGUCGGAUUAGCUAGUUGGCUGGGUAAAGGCCCACCAAGGCGACGAUCCGUAGCUGGUCUGAGAGGAUGAUCAGCCACACUGGAACUGAGACACGGUCCAGACUCCUACGGGAGGCAGCAGUGGGGAAUAUUGGACAAUGGGCGCAAGCCUGAUCCAGCCAUACCGCGUGAGUGAAGAAGGCCUUCGGGUUGUAAAGCCCUUUUGUUGGGAAAGAAAAGAAGCAGGUUAAUACCCCGCUGUUCUGACGGUACCCAAAGAAUAAGCACCGGCUAACUUCGUG
rnacentral:rRNA from 1 species